CGGCGGACGGGUGAGUAACGCGUGGGUAACCUACCCCAAAGUCCGGGAUAACAGCGGGAAACCGCUGCUAAUACCGGAUGCCUUUACCUUGGGGCAUCUUGAGGUAAAGAAAGGUAGCGCUUUGGGAUGGGCCCGCGUCCCAUUAGCUAGUUGGUGAGGUAACGGCUCACCAAGGCGACGAUGGGUAGCCGGCCUGAGAGGGUGGACGGCCACACUGGGACUGAGACACGGCCCAGACUCCUACGGGAGGCAGCAGUAGGGAAUAUUGCGCAAUGGACGGAAGUCUGACGCAGCGACGCCGCGUGAGCGAUGAAGGUCUUCGGAUCGUAAAGCUCUGUCCUUGGGGAAGAAGGCGAAAGCUUGACGGUACCCAAGAAGAAAGCCCCGGCUAACUACGUGCCACCAGCCGCGGUAAUACGUAGGGGGCGAGCGUUGUCCGGAAUUACUGGGCGUA
rnacentral:rRNA from 1 species